UCAAAAAAACCCAACACGAGCAGCGGGCCUCCAGCUGGGUGCCCCAUGUUUGCAGACAUUCCCCAGAGGAAAACCAUGGCUAUGUGGGAGAAGAGAAUGUUUGGAUUGCCCAGCUCCAGCUCCUGCCAUCAUCAGAGCGAUCCUGGGGAGGCAGGUAAAGAAGAGAGAUGGGAGAAUACUGCAGAAAUAAUUGCAUGAUGGUGAUUAUCUAACAGCCAGGUAGGCAUUGGGAAUCCUUAGACAGAGCUUCCCAAAUCAUGGCACAUGCCAAUGGCGGCACACAGACCACUGCCAAGUGCUGUUCAGGAAAGAGCCAAGAACUACUGCUGCCUCAGGGGCUUUCAAUAGAUAUAUCAGGUGUUGCACAUCCUCCCCUUAAGGCCUGCCCAGGGAUCCCAGAGCACACAGGCAGAGGCCUCUGUGAAAACCUGGUGAAUCCUCCUUCAGUUAUCACGGUUUGAGUGAUUCUCCUCCAGUCACCUUGUAAAUCUGAGGGAAGAUGAACAGUCUACAUUAUUGCACAUCUUACACUUUGAUCAUUCUGAGUGCCCUGGUAGGUAUUAUUACUUUUUUUAAGUACAGCUAAUUUUGCAUUAUAACAACUUUUUAAAUUAUACUUAAUUCUCUUUUUUUAAAACCAUGCAAUUUUUAAUUACUUUGCCAAAUUCAUCGCUAAUGGGUUCCCUAUACAUUAAAAAGCUAGCUAUUUUCUGCAUGUUUCCAUUUCUUUGUCAUGUUCUUAUGAGCUUGCAAAUCUGUAAGCACUUUUCUCCAUUUGCAGGCCGACGAGGGGAGGUCAGGAUGUUUAUAAAGACCCGGAAUUCAAAAAAAUUCAUUUUGUAUUUUAGUUUUGAUUACUGCCACUUAAGCGUAAUGACAACAUCCAUCCAGUUAAAAGUUUAGUUUCAUUGGAAAUUGUUGGGUUUUUUUCCAGUGAAACACUGCUAAUCAAAAAUGUAUGAGCAAUGCUUUCAUAAGUAAAAGAAAAAAAAAGGUAAAAUAAUCUCAUAAAAUAAAAUAAAAAAUGGAGAGUGAACAACUUUCUGUUCUAACACAGCCAUCUGUCAUUUAUAAAGACAUCACCCCAUUAACCUGUCUAAUCAACUCCAUUCUUUUUUCAAAGUCGUUUAGGUAAGUUUAUGAGGAGAUGUAGAUGUUCUCUUCAUUAAAUCUGUUGUAAAAUGGCCUCCUUGGUGUUCUGCUUUGUGUGCAUUUACACAUAUACAGGUAAUUACAAGUACAUAUCACUACUGUAAAUUCCAUGCUUGUCAUGUUACAGUACAUGACAUUUUCAUUUCCUCCUGGUGAAAAUGAAAUCUGAUAUUUUCUGUUCAAGCAAUAAUGACCAAUUAGAAUUUGUUAUUAUUAAUGUUUAUCCAAAAGUACUCCAAGUCAUGAGGUGGUUUCCUCCAAGGCAGCUGAAUUUAUAAUGUGGAAAAAAGGGGGUUGACAUGUUGCUAUACCACCUUCAGCCAUUUCCUCUCAAGCCUGGUUAUUCCUUCAGCAAACAGGGCGAUCCUUAUGGAAAACCCACAAUGUAAGGAAGAAUAUUACUGAGUUCAAGUUUAGAAAUGAAAACCCUGAGAUGAGCUCAGCUGGUCAGAGCCUGGUGUUAAUAAUGCCAAGGUUUUGGGUUUGACCCCUGUAUGGGACAUUCACUGAAGAGCUGGAUUCCAUGAUCCUUGUGGGAGCCUUCCAACUCAGAAUAUUCUGUGAAACCAUUCCUUUAUUUCUGUGAAACCAUUCUCCUCGCAGAAAUUUCUGAAUUUGUCUGUCUCUGACCUUUCCUCCCUGGCAUUUUGCUUUUAUCGCAGGAAGCAGGGCUCAGCUGUCAUACGACAGCUGAGGCAGUUGAGUCGCACCAGUCCUGGUGCAAUGUGGUCAAGUUAUCUACACCAGGAUUGCUUCAGUGCCCCAGGGUGCCACCAGCAAUUGGGGGAAAUAUUGCAAACUGUCCCUCAGAAGAACUGCCCAAGAAUGAAUCCAAACAACUGCGCUGCACCUGGGAGCAGAACAGGAAGGCUUCUCUAGAUGUGGCCAAAGUUUAUGGAGACAGCUCAGAUACUGAGUAUGUUUUAAAUACUUAACGCUUAGGGAAGUCCCAAAUAGGUUGUAUUUGACAAAAUGCCAGUGUUUUCACUGCAAAAUUCAGCAUUUGGAUUAUUUUUUUAAUUGCCUGCUUCUUUUGUUUACAAUAAAAUACACAUCCUCAAAUCCUGAGAUGUGUAGAUUUACACAUGUAGAGAACUAUCUAAAAUAUCCUUCAAUGGUGAUGGAAAACACCUUUAUUUUCAGAGGGGUUUGAAUCUGAGAAUGAAAACUUGUUAUAUUUUAGAUCUUCCCUCUAGAAACUUUCCUCUCUAGAGGUAACCUGAGAGAUGGACAACACACAAACCCACAGUGAAGAGAGGAGGAAAACCAGUUCUAUAUUCUAUGUAGAGAGAGGUUAAAAGACAGCAAGCAGUUGGAAUUAUGUUGAAGCAUAUCAUAGGGCAGAAAGAAGAUGAUAACUUUUGGGGUGCUCCAUUUGGAAAAUGGAAGCAGAUCUGCUCUACUCUCACUGAAAUUCAGUGGAGGAAGCUGGCUGGGGAGUGUUACAACUCAAGAAAUGGCCAGCACAUCUCUUGACAUCUCUUAGGGUAUUAUAAAUUCAAAGGCAGCCUAAAAAUAUUCAGACAUAAAUUAAAUACCCAUAACCUUGUCUCAAGCAUAAAGACAGAAGAAUGAAGAAUCUGACUGGCUAUUUUUUCCUCUCUCAUCUUUCUCAGGUCAUAAGCACCAAUGUCACAAUCACAGACAUAAUUUGGCAGCUGUUUCAUUACCGUUUUCUCUCUGAUGGAAACUGAUGCAUGGAAAAACAAGGAGUAAACUUAUACCACCUUUAUGGUCAGAAAACAACAUGAUACCAUGCAGCAGCUAUUUUUAAAAAUUUCAGAAUUGCUGGGUUUUGAAUGAUUUGUGCUUUACUGGCUCUUCCCUUAAUACUGUUUUUUUCUCAAAAAUGAAGGAGAUAGUAUCAGAAGCAGAGGGUAGAAGUAACAGUGGCAUUGGUGGCUUGUUCUGGCAGCCAGCAGACAGGAUGAGAACUUCAUGAGAAGUUGUGGAUGCCCCAUCCCUGGAAGUUUUCAAAGCCAGGCUGGAUGGGGUUUUGAGCAGUCUGGUUUAGUGGGAGGUGUCUCUGCACAUGGCAGGCAGGUUGGAAUGAGAUGAUCCUUAAGGGCCCUCCUGACCCAAAUCACUCUGUGAUUCAUGGCAGGGUGCUCUGAAGGGCAAAGGGCCACAGUCUUGGAUGCCAGCCUCCUGAAAGCACAAGGACCAUCCACCCAGAACCACAGGAAAAUGGGUGUACAGAGCAGGCAGCCAGACUGGUUGAACAGGAAACUCCUAACUCAUUUCAAAUCUGAAAAGGAAGUGUGUGGGGCUGGAAGUGAGGAUGGGCUGAACAGUAGAAACAGAAGUUUUGUGGCUCUGCAGGGAUGGAGUUGGGUGUUGCUGCUGCAUGUUGCCAGACCUUAGAAAUUAAAAAAAAACAAUUUAUCCACAACCUUAGAAAUUAAAAAAAACUUGAAUGCAGAAAACCCUGAGCAACCAGACUGAACUUUCCAACAUAAAUUACUCAAUGAUUCUAUGUUCUUUACAGGAAUCAGAGUUGAACAGGCCAGGCUAGACCGCUUCCCUCAGGACACUGUCCAUCUUAGUUUUUACUCAGAAAGGCUACUUGCCAUUUUAACUUAGUCAUAUGAAAUGAACCUAACUUAAUCCUUACAUUUCUGGCAGACUUAAUUUGUAUAACAUGUAUGUACGACUGUAUGCAUUUCUUUCUUGAAGGGGAUGUUGGUUUUCAAAUCAGGAUCUGCAUUGUUAUGAAGAUUUAAAGAUGGAACCAACUAACAUCUGGAUUUAAUGUAAGGUAGAAUUGUUCUUUUCUAAAGAAAUACAGGCUGAAGUCUACCUUUUCGUUGUAUCUUCCUAUGUGCACAGGCAGUUUAUAAAUAUAUGAUGUGCUAUUUUGUAAUGAGAGGUACUUCAAGUUCUUGUUAAAAAUUGUCUCAUUUUGAAGAAUAAGAUAAUGAUUCAUUUUGAACAUUUGUAGUUAUUUAAAAAAGAGUUUUACAAAUGUUUUCUGAUAGCCAGUCACAUCAGAAGAAAAAAAAUUCCAUGUGUUGUUAGCAUGAUGAAAAAUAAAGAAUACAAGAGUAGCAGAAAUUUUCUACAAUAAUCACUGCACUUUUUAUACAACAUUUUAUAUAAAUGAAUGUAUCUAAAAUAUUUAUAGUAGGGAAGUGAACUAGAUGACUUCUUAAUGGCACUUCCUGUAAAAUAUUUCUGUGAUUUCUUUGUCAGGAUAUCUCAUUAUUACAGACAUAAGCCCAGGGUUGAGAAGUAUUUCUGCAUAAGCUCAUGCAUAUUGAAAUAUGCUGAGGUCUCUUUAAUUAGAUCAUUGUAUUUAGCUGAAAAAGAUCCAAUAAAGAAGGCCUAAGUGUUGAAAUAAAUGUUUACAUGAUCUGGUAGUGCAGCUGGACUGAUUUUGAUGAAAAUGUCAUGGGUGAAUUUUUGCCCCUUUUAUAUUUUGAGUACACUUCCAGUAGAAUGGCAAGGGUAUUUAUACAUUUCAGAAAAAUCUCUAUUUCAACUUAAACUUGUAUCUUAAAAGGAUACAGAAUCAAAAUAGGUGUUAUCAGAUGUUAACAUGUAACCUCAUUGUUUAAAUGUAAUAAAAAUAGCAUACUGGAGAUUUGCUUAAAGAAAGAAUCAAAAACUGAGCAAAGGAUUUGAGAUUCAGAUGUAAAAAAUAACUCUAAAUAUCCACAUGUUUUUAAAGGCUUGAAUUCCAGCAUUACAGGAGUGUGAAUGUUGUUUGGGACUGGAUAUAAUAUUAUUCUAGUGAUAAGUGUAUUUGCUGCUUUUUGAAAAAGGAUUUUCCACUAAAAUCAUGUCUGCCAGAUUUCCUACAUCCCUUGCUUCCCUCAAGUAUUUUGGAGGCUCCCAUCAUCUUAAUGUAAGCUGUAAAAGGGAUGAUUUGGCCCUGGGACCACAUAUGCAGCAGUUCCUAUGACACUUCAGACAGCUGGUAGUCUGAAAAGCACAAUUUGAAAUCACUUAUGUGAGCAAAUAAUCAUUUUCUCCACUUAAUAAAUUAAUUUAAAGAGCCACAUUGUAAAAUUAUACUGCAAGCCAUUCCUGAUCCUUGAGAUGAAACAUGCUACUCUUCAAAUAAUGUUGUACAGUGAAAUACUUAUUCCUUGGAAGGAAAAAAAAAAAUAAAAUCAAAGAAAUACCUUAAUUUAGCUGUGGUAUCUGAUAUUUCAUGUUUUUAACAUAUAGACCCAGUAUGUGAUGAUUGGGUAAAUAGACAUUCAGGCAUAUAUGCCUUUUAGAAAAAAACUUUUAAAGUCUCAUUUUCUUAAUUUGAAGUGGGUGCUGGAUAAUAUGCAUGAGGAAAGCCAGAAUUUUUUUGCCAUCUACAGCAUAGUGGUAAUCUUCUUGCAUAAUGAAGUGCUAACUAAGUCAUGCUUUUGGAGAAUGAUAUAAAGUGUGAUUCCAGCACCAAGAGACUGUGAAAAAGCAGGACACCAUGGUGUCUCAGUAAUUUCAGCAUAGGAUAUGCUGAGUUUGCAAGGAAAAAAAGGUGGGAAUGUUUGGUUUGGGAUUUUUUUCCCCUUCCUAAUUUCCAGCUUCCCAAACUCCUCCUUGGGGAUUUUUACGUCUCAUGUAUGAUUAGUUGGAAUAAAUUAUCACCAGACUAAAUUGCAUGAUUGACUGUAGCUGAGUUGGCAGAGAGAAGGGGAGAUUUUAAGCUGCACUAUGGGCAAAUUUGAUGGGCAAUAACUGACAAAGAAAGUUUUCAACCACUUCAGUAUAGCUUUUUUACAAAAUAAUACCUUAUAGGAGAAUCAGAGCUUUCAGAAUAGCAUAAUAAUGAGCUAAAACUAGUUUGUAUAAAAAGAUUCAUGAUAUCCCAGUUACAGGAAAACUCACUAGCAAUUUUAUGAAUGAAUUCCAUAUUGUUCUAACAAACAUCAAGAAAAAAUCCCAGGGAAUUGAGAAGCAUAGAAAUAAACUUUUGCUAAUCAAUCCUUGGCUUAAAAAAUGGGAAAAAUAAAAGAGAAUACACAAAAAUGCCCUAAAAUAGGUAAAUCUGAACAAUCAACUGAAGCAUAACCUAAAAGAGUAGAGAAUUAUGGAGCACAGCAUUAUCUGUCCCCCCACACUGUCUAAUUUGCAAAAGUAAAUUAUUAGGAGGCAGCAUAUAACAUCUGGCCUCUAUUCCCUACAGAGGCCACAUUUAAUUUUACUAAGAGACCAUUAUUUUGUCUACACAGCUUUCUGCUCUUUCAACCAGAGAACUCUUAGGACUCUGGCUCUGCCAGUGUCCUCCAAAGCAGCAGCAGAAAGAAAUGGAUGGAGAUUCUGGGGAAGAGGGCAGGAGUGGCCGCUUCCAGGGAAGGGAGUAAUACGAGAACUGAGAGGGGCUGGAAAUUCACUGUGCUCCCUGUUAUUACAAAUGCUGGGAAGUGAUCCAUGCCAGAAGUAGUUUUUUAUUUGUAAUUUAUGUCUUAUUCCAUGAUGUUUUGCUACAGUGGGAUCCAAACUAUUCCAAGUAUUUUUAGUUAACAAGGAUGCAAAAAAGAAUAAUUAUACAUCCAUUCAAGAAAAUAGGACAGCAGCGAGAUUCUCAUGUGAGCCAGGGCUCUAAAGAAAAUGUUGCCAAUGAGGCAUAAGGCUGCCUGGAUCUGGACUUACACUGUGCUGUAAAUACUUUGGGUGAGUUAAAUAAUGUAAAUUUGAAGCAAAAGCAAAAGCAGAGCAUUAAAUAGGCUGUAGAAAUGCUAUAGAAAAGGAUAUCCUCACCACAAAAAUGAACACUGCAUGACAAAGUCCUUGGACCUUGAUUUUUUAUGCCUAAAUUACACCUGAAGUGUUGGCUAAUGUUACUCCCAAUGAAAUUCAGGUUUGACUAAUCUAUUCCUUAAUACCUGCUUGUUGUAGACAAAAAAAAAAGUGUAAUAUGUAUCAAAAUGAAAUAUUUUUUCCUAAAUUAGAGUAUUUUAAUAUAAAGUUAACUGAAGUGAAUUUGCCAUGGAAGUGGGCCAUCGGGAUCUGGCUGUGCUGAGGUGCAGAGCUGGCUUGGCUUUUUUGGUAUGCAAGUUAUUUCUGUAGAUAUACCCUGCCUGUAAGUUUUGCUAAACUAGAAGUGCAAAAACAGUUGUAGGAGUUAUCUGAGAAGGGGAGAGGAGGAUUUAAAACAAAGAGGUUGUGUUUUACUUUGCUUGUAAAAAGCAAAGGGAAAUUUGGGGAUAAUGUGUAUUAUAUAUGCUUUUUAACAACUAGAAUAAAAGAGAAGAUACAUUUUACGUCUGGAAAGAAUAAUUUUCUUGAUUCAGAUGCUAAAUAAAAUGAUGAUAAUUCCUCCCUCAAACAUGAAGUGCAUAAAUAACUUACUCAAGAGUACUGAUUUUGUUGUGCAGUAUAUUCAUAAAUAUUAGAUAAAAGAAGAAUCUUAGUUACAGAAAGAAACAAAGGCUAGUGCCCAAGUGUCUUGGGUUUUCCUUUUAUUAAAAUAGAUUAGUAGUCUUGCUUGGAUUCUUAAAAAUAAUUUCUGUCCAGAAGUUAAACAUGUUUAAAUAAAUGGAUUGCAUAUAUUUCCAAAGAAAGAAGGACCCAACACUGCUAUCAGAUUUAUGGAGAAAGUUCCUUGUUUUUAUUCUGGUAGAUUAAAAAAUAUAUUUUAAAUAAAGUACAGUUUCUCUUGGAUACUUAAUAAUAGUUUGUAUGUUCGAUGUAUUAAAAAAAAAUGUUUUCUAGAAAAGAGUCUGUUUUGGUAGGAACUGGAAGUUUUCACUGUUGUUUUAAAAAAAAGAUACCACGAGGUUACAUUUCUUAGGAACAUUUAAAAAUACCUUUGACAUGUGUAGCAAUACAAAGUGUUAUUCAAAGCUUGAUCAUUUAAAGAGAAUUAAUAGAAAUCCAUUUUGUUCAGACCUGAAAUCUGAAAGGACAAGACUGAACAAGACGUUCGUGCCCCUUUUUUAAAAAAAAGAACAAACAGUCAUAUCCUGAAGUGUUGACUGAGCUGUUCACUCAUAGUUCUCCUUGGUUUUAAAGGUGCCCUUCUCCUUGUCUGCAGCAUAUGAUAAGGGAAGUGACUUCUCCUUUUGUAAACCUGCAUAAUGAUUCUUGGGACUGAUUCAAUUUGAUUUGAUUUGGGGAAGCUGAGAACAGGAAAGUUUCUGGCACUUCUAUUGUCCUUAUCUUGCAUCAUAAUUAUUAGCAAAGGGCACUACAGAGAAAACUGUUCACAAAGGCCACUGAUUUUGGGUAGUAUAGACAAGACCUCAAAACAGUUAAGCAGUUUCAUGGAAAUGGACAAAGCUAGAGGGGAAGGAAGGCUUUGUUUCCUCUGUGUUUCCAAAUAUUUACAGGGAACUACAUAAAACAUCCUGGCUUCUGAACUAGGAAAUCACAUUUAUUUCCUUCAUAAGGAGAAGGAAAAAUAAGGAAAAUCCUAUUCCCACAAAGGCAUUCAGCUAGAAAUAGAAAUGAAAUAGACUUUAGCAUUUAAAGUGAGAACUUAUUUAUACCUUAAUUUUUAUCUUUAUGCAUAUCUUUUAAACCAAGUUCUAGUGUAGACGUGUAUUUCAUAACUAGUUCUGACCACAGAAAAUAAUUUUGUCUGACAUGAUGGCUAUAAAAACCACAUUUCAUGGCUUACCUUCACUUCUGCCUCCUGCCAGUCAACAUGAGUACUCAUGGUCCAGUCUGGUGGGACAGUGAAGAGGAACACCUCCACUGCUUACAGCCUCUGGUGAAGCCAGUGUUUUUUAGAGAAGUACCAAAACCUAACUCAGCACACUUGGAGAGCUGUGAAUGCCCAGGUGGCCAAGAAGGCCAAUGGCUUCCUGGCCUGGAUCAGCAAUAGUGUGGCCAGCAGAACCAGGCCAGGGAUCAUCUCUCUGUGCUCGGCACUGCUGAGGCUGCACCCCAAAUCCUGUGUCCAGUUCUGGAUCCCUCAUUACAAGAAAGACAUUGAGGUGCUGGAAUGAACCCAGAGAAAGGAAACGGAGCCUGGGAAGGGUCCAGAGCAGAAUUCUGAUAAGGCAGAUAAGGGUGUUUAGUCUGGAGAAGUCUCAGGGGAGCCCUUAGUGCUCUCUAAAACCACUUGAGAGGAGACUGUAGCCAGACAGGGUCUCUUCUCCCAGGUAAUAAAUGACAGGACAAGAGGAAACAGCCUCAACUUGAGCCAGGGGAGGUUGAGAUUGGAUAAUUAGGAAAAAUGUGGUCACUGAAAGGGUUGUCAAGCUGUGGAACAGGCUGUGUGGAGAAGUGGUGGAGUCACCAUCCCUGGAGGCGUGCAUAACCCAAUAUGCACUCCAUUUGCUUUUGCAAUUUAGAUGUGGCACUUGGGGACACGGUCUAGCGGUGGGCUCGGCAGUGCUGGGUUACCAGUUGUUCUCGAUGAUCUUAACCCCUGAAGGUCCUUUCCAAGUUGCAGGACUCCGUGACUGUGCAUCCCAGCACAGGGACCGGAUGAGGCUCGCCAGGUCCGUGCCGCAGUGCCCGCGUUGUGCCACCAGGCGGCGGCAGUGAGGGCGGCGCUGCUGCCGUGCCGCGCUCCGGGCGCCGGGCGGCGCUGGGCGGGAGCGGCACCGCGCUCACAGCCCCCACCGCAUCCCGGUGAUCCGCAGCCUCUGGAUCGCUCUGCUCUCACCGGAUCCUGGUGCUACACAGCCACUGGACUACCCUGCACUUAUCCCGCUGGGAGAUCUGCGCUAUUGCGGAGAACUGACGCGGGCAGCUCGUCCCGGCGCGGGACGUUUCAUCACAACUGACGCUGUUCCAUCGCCCCCUCCGGGCAGGAAAAACUCCCAAUGCCAAGAGAGGGGGAAAGGAAUGAAGCACCUUGAGGCACAAGUUUCACGGUGGUCACUUGACUCAAGUGCACUACAGGUACUUUUGCUGGACGUCUUUAUAGUAAAUAAAUACAAACAAACGUACAUCCUAGUCUCUGAGGAGGAAAUAUGCUGCUUUUUGUCCCACUUUAACAGGCUCCCGAUAAAGUUUGCUCUGAGGCACUGGGCAGACCCUGCAGUAAAGCACCCUCCAAGUCAUUCCAUUCCUUUAGCCAGGCAGACCAAGUGUUGAAGGGAGUUCUAACCUGGCAAUUACUCUGAGAUACUUAAAUCUCAACUUACUAUUACCCUUGAGAGGGAUGAUGGGUUUGUCUUUACAAAGAAGCAGUGGGUCUGCUGAUAAGAUGCAGCUAUCACUGAGAGACAACAGAAACAAUAGGAUAGAUUCCACUGAAAGAUGAAAGAGGCACUGAAAGAGCACCAUGGAUUCCACAAGAGUUAAGAAUUAAGAAAUGAUUAUGCAUUGUGGAGGGGGAAGGUAUCCCAGGUAUGAGGCGUUCCGGGAAGCCUGUACCUCUCAAGUACUUCAGCCAAUGGGGAAAGAGAGAAGGGACAAGCGGCCGGGAAUUAGGAUAAAAAGGAGGCUGCGCCCUCCAAAAUUUUGAGAGACCCCAGGGGAAUGCCCCAUGGCCUCUCCCUUUAUUUGAAUAAAGUAAAAGGACUCCUCUGUCUCCUUUUUGGACA